UACGAAGGGUGCAAACGUUGCUCGGAAUUAUUGGGCGUAAAGCGCACGUAGGCGGCUUAGCAAGUCGGAAGUGAAAGCCCUCGGCUCAACCAAGGAAGUGCUUUCGAAACUGCUGAGCUUGAGUAGUUAAGAGGAUCGCGGAAUUCCCGGUGUAGAGGUGAAAUUCGUAGAUAUUCGGAAGAACACCAGUGGCGAAGGCGACUUACUGGACACAUAUUGACGCUGAGGUGCGAAAGCGUGGGGAGCAAACAGG
rnacentral:rRNA from 1 species